UGCUCCCUCUACUCUCGCGAGACCGGGCUCUUCGGGCAGCGGGAACGCGGGAGCUUUCCGGUCUGCGGGCGCUUUGGCUCAGGGCUAUGGGGCUGUUUUAGGUCCUGCGCAAAUUUUUAACAUAUUUUAAGUAGUUAACCGAAUUAUUGCUUUCGCCCGUUGUGAAAGGCAGACUGAGCCUGGCAUGAAAUUAUGCAGCCCUGGGUUACAUGACCCUAGCACUAGUUUCAUUUGGUUUUCUCGUACUGUUCUUUAAAUGAAAAGUUGAAGUAGACACAUUUCCAAAUUCAAAAUGACUCCGGGAUCCCUGGCCUCAGAGAUCUGGGGUGGUUAUGGAAUAUGGGUGAAGCGUGCUUGCUUACAGCCACAUUUCUGCAGGUUGUGCUCUCACUGUAAAUCCCUGAGCUGAAAGGAGAGGAGACUGGGACUCUUCGGAGCUCCCCGAAGUGCCCGCACCCUCUACUUGUCCCUGACACCUUUCCGCGCUAAAUACAUGUUUGGAUAAAGGAAGGGACAAAGUAGGAUUUUACCUUCCUCUCUCAACCAGACACCACAGAUGGAGAUCUGGGAAAGAUGACUUUGAGAUAGAGACAGCCAGCGCGAGAGGGAACACAAGCAGGGGGAGUGGGG